rnacentral:rRNA from 1 species
UACGUAGGGGGCAAGCGUUGUCCGGAAUUACUGGGCGUAAAGGGUGCGUAGGCGGUUGUCUAAGUCAGAUGUGAAAUCCCCGGGCUUAACUCGGGUGGUGCAUUUGAAACUGGGUGACUAGAGUGCAGGAGAGGGAAGCGGAAUUCCUAGUGUAGCGGUGAGAUGCGUAGAUAUUAGGAGGAACACCAGUGGCGAAGGCGGCUUUCUGGACUGUAACUGACGCUGAGGCACGAAAGCGUGGGGAGCAAACAGGAUUAGAUACCCUGGUAGUCCACGCUGUAAACGAUGGAUACUAGGUGUAGGGGGCGUAGAGCCUUCUGUGCCGCAGCAAACGCAAUAAGUAUCCCGCCUGGGGAGUACGGCCGCAAGGUCGAA